GACGAACGCUGGCGGCGUGCUUAACACAUGCAAGUCGAGCGAGAAAGCUCCUUCGGGAGUGAGUACAGCGGCGAACGGGUGAGUAACACGUGGGUAAUCUGCCCCAGAGGGAGCGGGACAACCCGAGGAAACUCGGGCUAAUACCGCAUGAUCCGCGUCGCCCCAAGGCGAUUCGGCAAAUAGGUAGCUUCGGCCUCCGCCGUCUGGAUGAGCCCGCGGCGCAUUAGCNGGUUGGUGAGGUAACGGCUCACCAAGGCGACGAUGCGUAGCUGGUCUGAGAGGACGAUCAGCCACACUGGGACUGA
rnacentral:rRNA from 1 species